rnacentral:rRNA from 1 species
GUUCGCGACAAUAUCAACAUAACCCACUGAAGCUAAGCAGGUGUGAGCCUGGUCAGUACCUGGAUGGGAGACCUCCUGGGAAAAACUAAGGUUGCUGCUGGAA